ensembl:lncRNA
CUCUCCCUGAGCCCUGGUCUUCCUGAGUACCUCCCCGGAGAGCCUGUUUCCCUCACAGGCUGGGAUGCCCAAGGGAUCACCAACUUGCAGGAUUCUGAUGUGACAAGUUCUCCAGCUCCUGUUACCCCUCUUAGUGCCAGUGCGGGGUCAAUACCCAUAACACAGGGUCAGGAUUUGGGGACUGGAAACCCUUCCCAUCCCCGUCAAUCCCUGUCUGUGCAAAUGCUCCCUAUGAUGCAGCACAAACAUUAGUUAAAACACACCCCAAGGGCCCUGUGGGACAAGGGGGCUGGUUUCAGAAACUUCGCCAUGAGAGAGGGAGAUCCCAAUUGGUGAGAAUAAAAAAAAUCCUGCACCUGCUUGUACUGAUACGUCUGUCUGACCGGGAGAUCCCAGCACGGAAGAACCAGCCCCUCUCCACCAGCCUGGGGGAGGCGGCAUUGGGCAGGGAGAUCGGGCUGGUUUGUGUGUGUUAGGGAUUUUUUCAUCUAUCUCCCAAUCCUCCUCAAUCACAGAGCGGAGCAGAUCCCCAAAUGGGUCUUCAGCCAGGGCACAUCAGUGAUCAGCACGACUUACUCAGCAAAGAGCAUGUGUGACGCUCCUCGGGGAUACCCAGGGCUCUGGGGCAUGUUCCUGCCACCUGCCCUUAGCGUGAGGAAGCCUGGUCUGUACUUGCUGGGGGCAGCUCCCUGACUGCCUGGUCUCAGCCGCACAAGCCCUCCCCUCCCCGCCCCUGCAGGCUGAGCUGGCCCUGGGCAGGAGCUGACCCCUCAGUUACCAAGGAGGGGACGCUGGUCCCACUGGGUUCCUUGGCAGUGAAAUCUCUGCUGCUCCGUGUUUGCAUGGCCCGGUGGGGACGUGGUACCUGAGCACUGAGUUGGGGCUGGCUGGGGUCUGUGUCCAGGAUCCCGCCCUCUUCUGCUCUUCAUUGGCCCUUCCUCUGCUUCUGUAUCACCAGCCACACAAGUAGCCAUCUCCUCCCCCGACCCCCUUGUCUUUUCCAGCCCCCCUCCCGACUCCCCAGCUCACCGUGUCCCCGCAGCAGCCUGUCUACAUAACUGGAGAAGCUGUGACCCUGACGUGCUCAGCUGCCAGGGCGUCCACUGUGUCCGGGGUCCGGUUCUUCAGAGAUGAUCAGGAAAUUCAGCGGAAGGAACUCCCCUCACCUCGGUACAGUUACACCAAUUCGAUUCCAGCGCAAGGCGGAACCUAUACCUGUGAAUCCUGGCAGACAGUGUCUGGGCGAGAAAUCACAUCAAACAGGAGCCGACCGAUCUCCAUAGCAGUCACAGACCCUCCUGCGGCCCCAUCCCUCUCCCUGAGCCCUGAUCUCCCUGGGUACCUCCCUGGAGAGCCUGUUCCCCUCUCAUGCUGGGCGCUCCUGGGUCACAAAGCUGCAGGAUUCCAAAUCGAUAUGGUGGGGUCAUGGAGCAUCUCCGCUAGGGGCUCAUCUGGGAUCUGUUAGGGAUUUUUUCAUCUAUCUCCCCAUCCUCCUUACUUUGUGGAGAUUCCCCAUUCUAUCUCCAUUCCGGACUCUCCACCAGCCCCAUGCUCUCUCUUGGCUCCCUGCACCCCAUCUCUAUCCGAGGGGAGUCAGUCACCCUCAAAUGCUCGGCUCCCAGGAGUGAGAGAGCGACGGGAUAGAGGUUCCUCAAUCACAGAGCGGAGCAGAUCCCCAAAGGGGUCUUCAGCCAGGGCACAUAAGUGAUCAGCACGGCUUACUCAGCAGAGAGCAUGUGUGACGCUCCUCGGGGAUACCCAGGGCCUCGGGCAUGUUCCUGCCAUCUGCCCUUAGCGUGAGGAAGCAUGGCCUGUGCUUACUGGGGGCAGCUCCCUGACUGCCUGGUCUCAGCCGCACAAGCCCUCCCCUCCCCGCCCCUGCAGGCUGAGCUGGCCCUGGGCAGUAGAUACCCCCGUCAGGUACCAAGGAGGGGACGCUGGGCCCAUUGGGUUUCCCGGCAGUGAGAUCUCUGCUGCUCAGUGUUUGCAUGGCUCAGCGGGUAACAGCUGCCCCUCAUCUCCCAGGUCCUUCCAGAGAUCUCUGCGGGGUCUGCCCUUCUUCUCUAUCUAACGCUGUCCCCUGUUUCCAGACCUGUCUGUAACCCUGUCCUGCCCCUUGAGUCGUGAUAUCCCCAGGUACCCACCCUGGAGAGCUGGUUCCCCUUACAGGCUGGGCUGUCCCAGGGGAUCACCAACUGGCAGGAUUGUGAUGUGACAAACUCUCCAGCUCCUGUUACCCCUCUUAGUGCCAGUGUGGGGUUAAUACCCAUCAUACAGGGUCAGGGUUUGGGGACUGGAAACCCUCCCCAGUGCUGUCAAUCCCUGUCUGUGCAAAUGCUGACUAUGAUGCAGCACAAACAUUAGUUAAAACACACCCCAAGGGCCCAGUGGGACAAGGGGGCUGGUUUCAGAAACUUCGCCGUGAGAGAGCGAGAUCCCAGCUGGUGAAAAUAAAAAAAAAACCUGGAAAUGAGUCUGUGGGUUC